rnacentral:rRNA from 1 species
UACGUAGGGGGCAAGCGUUGUCCGGAUUUAUUGGGCGUAAAGAGCGUGUAGGCGGCUAGAUAGGUCCGUUGUGAAAACUCGAGGCUCAACCUCGAGACGUCGAUGGAAACCAUCUGGCUAGAGUCCGGAAGAGGAGAGUGGAAUUCCGGGUGUAGCGGUGGAAUGCGUAGAGAUCCGGAAGAACACCGGUGGCGAAGGCGGUCUGCUGGGGUAAUGCUGACACUGAUGCGCGACAGCGUGGGGAGCAAACAGG